UUGUGGUCUUAUGCUUGAAACACAAGAUAUUAAUGUUUCAGCUUGUCGUUUUUUAUGCCAAACAUCACUUUAUAAU
rnacentral:tRNA from 1 species